rnacentral:rRNA from 1 species
GAUGAACGCUAGCUACAGGCUUAACACAUGCAAGUCGAGGGGCAGCAUUAUCGGAGCUUGCUUUGAUAGAUGGCGACCGGCGCACGGGUGAGUAACGCGUAUCCAACCUUCCCCUUAGUAGGGCACAGCCCGGCGAAAGUCGGAUUAAUACUCUAUGUUGUAUUAUGAGGCCAUCUGAGUAAUACCAAAGAUUCAUCGCUAAGGGAUGGGGAUGCGUCUGAUUAGCUUGUUGGCGGGGUAACGGCCCACCAAGGCAACGAUCAGUAGGGGUUCUGAGAGGAAGGUCCCCCACAUUGGUACUGAGACACGGACCAAACUCC